rnacentral:rRNA from 1 species
UACGAGGGGGGCGAGCGUUGUUCGGAAUUAUUGGGCGUAAAGAGCGUGUAGGCGGUCUGGUAGGUCCGUUGUGAAAACUCGAGGCUCAACCUCGAGACGCCGAUGGAAACCCUCAGACUAGAGUCCGGAAGAGGAGAGUGGAAUUCCUGGUGUAGCGGUGAAAUGCGCAGAUAUUCGGAAGAACACCAGUGGCGAAGGCGACUCACUGGACACGUAUUGACGCUGAGGUGCGAAAGCGUGGGGAGCAAACAGG